rnacentral:sRNA from 1 species
GCGGGGACGCGGGAGCCCCUGAGCAGGUGGCUCCGGCUGCGGCUGAGGCCCGGACCAGCACGCGUGGAGCGGUGGCACUGCCAACCGCGCAGGAGCCUUGCGACAAGAUAGAGGGAGUCGUCAGAGAGGCCAGAGACUCCGGGGUGUCGCCCCUCUGUAGCCCCCUGUGGACACCCUAGGGAUAUCUCUUAGAAGGAUCCACGCCUGGUAACCUCAAAAUGAAUUUCUACCAGAUUAGGGUUUGCUGAAAUGGCAGAGAGGAAAGAGGCCUGAGGGUACAUCAGAGGUGAACUUCACUAACACACAACAAUCUCCAGAACUACAACAACAACAGCAGCACAGCUGAAGGCGUGCUUUCUACCAUAGACUUUUCUUCUUUCAGGAAAUACGGUGGAAGGGGAGACAAACCGAAUGUGAGCGCCAGAAAGAAGAGGAGGAAAGGAGGAGAGCUACCUCAGGCUGUCUCUAAGCGCCACAUCGCAUUCAAAGUCAUGACAGUGCCGCAGCCACGCCCACCACAUUGGGUUGUCAACAGGAAAUCACGGAUUCCAAGGAACCCCAGCUCUCCUUGAUGAACUGUUGAAUACUGAUGAAUUCUGGAGGAGGGACCAGUCACUGUGUUCACUUGUGUUCCCAGGAGUAAGCCCUCAGGCUCCAUCGGAUAACCACCAACCCACUUUCACACAGAUGGCUCUGGUUAAGCUCAGGUGAAAAAGCAUGCAUGUGAAAAGGGACCUGUAGGGUAAUGACAGGAAUGGGAGGAAGAUAAGGGAGACAUCACAGCACAUUAUAAACAUAUUUGAAAUUGCCAAAGAAUAAACUUAAUUGGAGUUAUCAAAA